AUAUGCAACCAGCAAUAGCCAAGGCAAGGGUGUCAUGGACGCCAUGUCGAUACACACGUGGAACCAACGUGGUGAAUAAACCUACAAUAAUCUGACGUCUUUUUAUUGAGUUUUAUACCUGUGAUAUACGGAAUACACAACAUAUGGCGACGAGCAAAUUAUGAAUACAAGGGAGUAACUUUCAACGCAAGAACGGGAGGAAAAGGUGAGAAAGUCUAACCGUUCUGAAAAGCACUUUCAAGCAUGGCUAGUUACAUCGGCAUUAUCCCUACAUUCACACCGGACAGUGACUUCACGAUUUUCGAAGAAAGGUUCGAACAGUUCUGCCUCGUGAACAAAAUCGUGGACGAAAAAUGCAAAGUUGCCCUGUUGCGAAGUCAGAUGGAAACGGAUGUAUACAAGAUACUUCGCGAUUUAUCAUUUCCAAUUCCACCCAAGGACAAGUCUUUAGAAGAGCUGAAAAAGGAGCUCCAAAAGCAUUUCAGUCCAAAAGUAAACGUGUUUAGGGAACGAAUUCAGUUCUUCCGAGCCCACCAAACCGCCGAAGAAAGUUCUAAUGAGUGGUAUGCAAGAUUAAAAAAUCUCGCGGUCAACUGUAAGUUUGAGCACCUCCAAGAGACACUGGUUGAUCGGUUCGUGUCGGGAAUGCGAGAGGGACCCGUUAUGGACCGACUAGUGGAAGAACCAGUCAGUCAAAGUCUCGAGAAGUUAAUCGAAAUUGCCAACAGCAAGGAGUUGGCGUUAGCAUACACCACUGGUAAAGGAAGCGAGGACAGAAUUCAGGCAGUAUACAGUGGUCACCGUAAACUAGGCAACUUCCGGGGAAGAAACCAACACAAACCCAGAAAACCAGAUGCAAAUGAAGAGUAUAAAGAAAGUUAUGACAUGGGAAGAGUGAAGAACCAAAGCAGAACCACCGUGAAAUAGUGUCUGCAGGGCAAGGCAGAUCAACGCAGUGGAGACCCUACAAAGUGAACAAGGAAGCGGAAGCGAGGUUAGUAUAUAUGACGAAGGACAUUAUCUAAACUCUAUAUAUAACAUUAACAACACUCUUAAGCCAAUCGAACUCUCCGUGUUAAUAGAUGGCAAAAAAUAUUGCAUGCAGUUAGAUUCAGGUUCCGGCAUAUCUGCAAUAAGCAACAAGUUUUAUGUAAAUAAUUUGAACACUUACCAAAUUCAUCCAACAGUAAUGUCGUUUAAAGGUUACACAGGUGAAUCAAUUGUACCACUAGGAUUCAUAAAUGUUAUAGUAGAAUAUGGAGAUAUGGCAAGUGAGUUAAAACUAUUUGUAAUUGAAAAUGCUAUGACAGGAUUGUUAGGCAGGGAUUUCAUCAAUAAUUUUAACAUUAUUUUCACUCCAGCAGGAAUAAACGCCAUUGACUCGGUGGUGGACGUGAAGACUACGUUAAGGGGGGAGUUUCCUGAUGUGUGUACUUCAGCUCUCGGAUGUUUUAAACACGCAGGUAUGAACAACACACGUCAGGACACUCAUCCUUUACCAGCCACCGAGCCAAUGUGUCCUCCCGCAGCACAUGAAUGUAUUAGACCAUCUAGAAUUAGGAAAACCCCAAAGAUCCUAGAUGAUUUUAUUGUUAGUAUGUAAGAUUUCAACCUGUAAAUAUUAUUUUAGUUAGUUUAGGUAAAUUUCAUUGUUAGGAGGAAUAUUUUGUAGUUGUAAGUUAAAGAGGGAGAAGUGUUAUAUAUGCAACCAGCAAUAGCCAAGGCAAGGGUGUCAUGGACCCCAUGUCGAUACACACGUGGAACCAACGUGGUGAAUAAACCUACAAUAAUCUGACGUCUUUUUAUUGAGUUUUAUACCUGUGAUAUACGGAAUAC